UUUAAUAUGGUAAAACAAAGUAAUGAACAAAUAAAACAUCAUUCAUGUCGUGCUAUAUGUGCAUACACAAAAAAAGCAGAAGGUUUGAAACAUACAGUAAAAGAUAUCAACGAUUUAACUAAUAUUAUUAGUAAAUCGUUAGGUGAUUUAACAGCAGAAAAUACACUAGAUAAAAAAGAAAAAGAAGAAUAUUUAAUUAGUCGUGUUUUGUUAGUGGAUAGAACAGCAUAUAAUAGAAAUACAUAUGACAAAACAAAUGUUGUACAACAUUUGAUUAAGAUAUGGGAUCAAUAUGAUAAUGGUGAUUAUACUGUAUUAUUAUUACGUCAUGUAUUUCGUGCUUUACGUAAAAUCGUUUCUGAUUACCAUGUACAAACUUUAUUAAAAGCGAAUGUGUUAGCAAGAUGUAUUGAUAUUAUAAAUAAUGCUAAAACAGAUAAAAUUAUAUAUCCAGAUGUAUUAUUUUUGAUUGGUAGUUUAGCUAUUAUGAAUGAAAUAAAAUUAUUAAUAGGAGAAUUAAAAGGAAUAGAAGCAUGUGUCAAUUUGUUAAGUAGAUCCAUAAGUGUUAAAGAUAUGGAACCUACAAUAACUAAUUGUUGUUUAGCAUUAGCUAAUAUUUGUAUUGAUAAUAAACGUAAUUCAUCUAUAUUUAAUAGUUUAAAUGGUCCUGAUAUGAAUGUACGUAUUUUAAGAGAUUAUAAAUCCAAUUUUGAUGUAACAAAUGGUGCUUCAGUGUUACUAUGUAAUAUAUUAUUUCGUAACGAAGAAAUGAAAAAGAUAUAUGGAAAAAAUGGUGCACCACGUGAAUUAGUAGAUUGUUUAAAAAGUUAUGAUGGUAGUGAUGAUAAGUCAGCUGUUCGAUGUAUGGAAAGUUUAUUUAAAAGUAUAUCCAAUUUGUCAUUAUAUACUGAAAAUGUGAAAUACUUUUUAGAUGCACAAAUAGAAUUGUCAUUUGAAUCUUGGUUAAAUAAAUUAAAUGAAUCAUAUCCAGAUGCAGAAUUAGAAACAGGUUUACGUUCUUUAUCUAAUUUGGUUAUGGAAAAUGAAGAAAGAAAUAUGCAAAAUUUUGGUGUUACUUUAAUACCAGUGUUAAAUGUAUUGAGACAAAAUAGAGAAAGCCCAAAAGUUACAUUCUUUUUAUUAGAUAUUUUAUGUUCUUUAUGUAGGUUAACUGAUAAUGCCAAAAUCUUUGCUGAAAAUAAUGGUAUUGAUACUGCUGUAAAUAUUAUUAGAAUGUUUGAUUAUGAUUUGAAUAUAUUAAUAUUAGCAAUUCAUUUGUUGAAUAACCAAUGUAAACUCGAAUCAAGUUUACCAAUAUUGAUUAAAGCAGAUGUUAUGAAUAUAUUAAUUAGUUGUAUGGAAGCAGAAAGUGAUGAUUAUGAAAUUAUUGAAUUAGUUAUAUGUUCAUUAAGAUGUGUAAGACGUUUAAUUCAAUCGGAAGAGUUAGCAUACGAGUUUUGUAAUGCAGGUGGUAUAACUACUAUUGCUAAUUUGGUACUUAAUUCUGUUAAUAAAUCAUUUAUUAUAUUAGAAGCGUUACGUGUUUUGUUAUGUGUAUUAUACCAUACAACUAACAUUGAAGGUGUAGUUAAUGAAUAUCCAGAAGAAGAAGAAGAAUUACACAACGCUAGAUUAGGUGCUUGGUAUAACAUAAGUAUGGAUAAAGAAAUGAUUGAUGCUAUUAUUCAAUCUGUUAUAACAUGUGCUUUGGAUCCUAAUUUUACAAAACAGUUAAGAUUACAAAAGGUAUCUUUAGGGUUAUUAGCAUAUUUUGGAUACCAUAGAUUAGGAUAUAUAUCGAUGGCAGCAUCUGGACUCGAUAACUUAAUAAAAGAAAAUUUAGUAAAUUUUGCAGGAGAUCCAAUUAUUAUGCAAUUAUUAGCUAUAUGUAUAAACAAUAUGGCUUUAAAUGCAAUUGAAGUAUAUGACACUACUAUUUCUAGAGAUAUAAUAAAAAACUUUAAAAGUGCAAUAAAUAAAAUACCUAAUAUUAAAGAAAAUAAAGCCAUAAUAUCAACUAUCAGAUGCACAGCAGAUGCAAUGGAAUCUGUACAAGAUCCAUUAACAGCAUUCAAAGACACAUUAACAACAUUUGAUUUUAGUUUAUCUGAAUUUGAUAAAGAUCCUUACAUUAAUGGUGUACAUGAUUUAUCUGCUAAUGUUAAAGAAGCAUUAAGAAAAGGUGGGCUACAUAAAGUUUAUCAUAAAAGUGAUCAAAGGACGAACUUCAAAUGGAAGGCUACACAGGACUUAAAUGCGCUAGAAUGGACUGUUGGUGAUAAUGAAGAACAUGUAUAUAAAAUUAGUAUAGCCCGUAUCAAAAAUAUAGCCAAAGGAUUAUCACAUCCUUUAUUGAAAGCUAGUAACAAAUUAGAACCUAGGAAAGUAAAUGCAAAAGUCACUUUGUGUAUUUAUGGAACGCCUACUGAGGACUUUAACGAUGGUUUAGAACUACCUAUAAAAAUGAAAACUCAGAAGGAGCGUGACGCGUUUGUAGAAUUAAUGAUUAUGUGGCGUGAUGCAGCCAGUUAUAACUAAUGAAUGGUAUGGUGAGUUAGGUAUAUAAUGGUUAGGAAUUAUUAUUAUUUUAUUUUUAUUUUUAUUUUUUUGUCUGUUUGUUUUGACUCGAUCAAUAUAAGUAUCAGGUUGGUCGUUUUUUUCACGCUUUUUAUCUUUUGUUACCCUCCUAUAUUUUUUACUUU
ensembl:lncRNA